rnacentral:rRNA from 1 species
UCUAUGGCCAUACCACCCUGAACGCACCCUAUCUCGCCUGAUCUUGGAAGCUAACAGGGCCAGGCCUGGUUAGUACUUGGAUGGGAACUCCUCUUGCUUCACUAAUGAAGCUUUGAGAA